UACGAAGGGGGCUAGCGUUGUUCGGAAUUACUGGGCGUAAAGCGUGCGCAGGCGGUUUGUUAAGUCUGUUGUGAAAUCCCCGAGCUCAACUUGGGAAUUGCAAUGGAUACUGGCAAGCUGGAGUAUGGUAGAGGAAGGUGGAAUUCCCGGUGUAGCAGUGAAAUGCGUAGAGAUCGGGAGGAACACCAGUGGCGAAGGCGGCCUUCUGGACCAAUACUGACGCUCAUGCACGAAAGCGUGGGGAGCAAACAGG
rnacentral:rRNA from 1 species